rnacentral:lncRNA from 1 species
UCUGUCCUUACAGCAGACAAGAUCCAAAGUGAGGUGGAGACUGUUCCAGAAGCAGGACGACAUGAAGAGCUUUACUGGGGGCAAAUCUGGAAACAGAUUGCAAGUGAUUUAAUCAAGUAUGAAGACUCUAUGAUAAGUAUUUCUCGGUUCCCCAGACAAGGUGAUUUGUCCUGCCAGGUUAGGGCAGGACUAUAUACAACUCACACAGGACAGAAAUUUUACCAAUGUGAUGAGUACAAAAAAUCCUUCACUGAUGUCUUCAACUUUGAUCUUCAUCAACAGUUACACUCAGGAGAGAAGUCUCAUACAUGUGAUGAGUGUGGAAAAAGCUUCUGUUACAUCUCAGCCCUUCAUAUUCAUCAAAGAGUCCACAUGGGAGAGAAAUGCUAUAAGUGUGACGUGUGUGGUAAGGAAUUUAG